CUUUAAUGUAUUUGAGGUUUUCCUACAACCAAGUUAACAAGUAUCUCUUAAGAUUUAUAUAUGAAAUAUACAAGCCUUAAGAUUCACCUGUUGCCCUGUUUGCAUUGUUUCUUUAGUUUAGUAUGUAUGUUGCAAAAUUGUGUGUGUGUGUGUGUGUGUGUGUGUGUGUGUGUGUGUGUGUGUGUGUGUGUGUGUGUGUGUGUGUGUGUGUGUGUGUAUCUGAUUGUGUGUUGAUGAAACACAAAAAGGCUGUUGUGUGCUCUCUCUCUCUCUCUCUCUCUCUCUCCCUCCCUCCCUCUCUCUCUGGCCUGUUUGCACUCAGAUACAGCAGCAGUGAGAUCAUUGAGAUCAGUAUCUACUACGGUGUCAAGCUUAGGUUUGCAACAGCGACCAAGCACUGGCACCUGUCACCUGCUGACAAAUACAGAGUGAACAUCAGGAUUCUGUGGGCACAUCAUGGGAAACUGCACUUCAGGGAUAAAGAAUAAAUGGAAAGGGAAUUUUGCAUCCGAUGAAAAAGAAGGCAGCACAGAUAAUAAGGUAGACCCCCCCCCCCCCCCCCACACCCACACACACACACACACACACACACACACACACACACACACACACACACACACACACACACACACACACACACACAUGGAUGUACUCCCUUGUUAGAUUUGCAUACUUUACAAAAGACAUUGUGAGGCUGUUUAUUUCAUAUGCAGGAAGUCAUAACCACAUAUAGAAAACUGUAUGAGAAAUUAUAAUGAAUGAUGUGUAACAUAUCUUCAGGAAUUGCAUCUCACUCUGUGUAUUAUCUCAUGACAGCCUCAGGAGGAUGUAACGUAUGCCUCUAUUGACCACACCACUGCCAAAAGACCAAACAGAACCAUAGCCACCGCUGACGAUGAUUGUGACUAUGCAACAGUUUAUGUCCCAGCAGCACUUCAACCCGAACCUGUGUCCGAGUGCUCAUCUAAAGACGAAUGUGCAGACGAUUAUGUCAUCAUGGGAUGAACAGGAGGAAAAGUUUAUUCGGUUUAUGGCAAGAUGCAGGACUAGUAGAUAAUAUCGCAAACAGGAGAACAUUUCUGGGAAUCAAAUCUUGAUCUUCAAUAAAGAAACAAAAUUAAAAAAGAAUCAUCUGCAGCCAACAGUAGCUGGCUGCAGAAACACCAAGCACGAAGAUGCUCCCCUACACUUUUGAGGUAACCUCAAGCCUGAACACAACUGUGGUGUCCCUUCCUGUACAAGACAAAAUUGCUUCGCAUUUGACCUCAAUAAAUCUAGUAGCUUCUUCACAUGCACCUUAUUUACACCAUGACCUGAAUGACAGAAUUUUAAAGUCUUUUAAAAUAUUUAAAAUAAUUCCGAUUGUAUGUAUACACAUUUGUUUGCAGCAACAAACAAAAAAAGAUCAACACAAUUAGUGCAGUGUGUAUGUACUACAAAUGGAUUCCUAAAAUGUUGUGACAUUAGCACAAUAUCUGGAAGUAGUACGCUAAAAGUCUACGGUCCGGAGUUCACGGGUUCUAAGCAGUAUGUAAUUGUACACAAAGUGACAAAAUAAAGUAAACUCAAAGCAGGUAGAAUGCACACUAAAUCAGAUGUUUCAUUUUUGACAUUUGUUUAUGUACUGUUAAUAGAUAAUAUUCUUCCCACAAUGCAAUGCACAAAGAAAAUGAAGGAUCAGUUCAUGGCUGAAACAAUUAAAAGAAAUUGUGAGUGGUGGUGAAACAGCUUAAAAUAAUUAUGAAACCUUAGGAAAAAAGAUUUGGCUUUCUUUUUGUAAAGUUAAACAGUCACAGCUUACUUGACUUCUGAUGUUGUGUAAUUUCCUGUAAGUACACUUAUGGCGCACAUACUGUAUAGAAUUAGUAUGCAGUUAAAAUUUUAAACAUAUCUUUAGCAUUUAGGCUUAAAUACUUUUUUGCUUCUGACAAACCAUUAGUUACAACAUCUGAAGCUCUGAGAAUCUUAAUGUCUUCAUUUCUUUUGAUGUUUUUUUUCGAUAUGUUUUUAUUUGCUGACAUUUUGGUCUUAACAAUUGGAGUAUUCAGUGUGUUAUCUUCGGCUUUCAAGAGGAAUGCGGGGUAUACAAGUGGAAGAACUGUUUUUCCACCAUAAAAGGAAAAGAACGGCAGCUAUGAAACAUAAAGUGAACACUGAAGAAGCACAGUAGACAGGAAGGCUAAUAUGAGUCAAUCUGCUGUCACUCUAUGAUUUUCUACAGUAGAUAAACGUUUGAUCUUUAUUUAUAGUCUGUUUUUAUUGACACAGAGCCAAAGCUUUGCUCCACCUUUAACCAAAGUUUCAGUUGCAGAAGCCCCACAUUAAGCUGCCUCGACCAACCUUUACAAACUAAAUUUACCAAUCCAUAAUGGAAUAAUGGAAUGUGUAUAUAAUUGUGUCCACAACACACAUCCUAACCUGCUUUCCAGAGUCUAUGCUCAUUUUGCAAAAUAUCGCUCCUGAGAACUGCUGCACACCACCCAAAUAUACUACAAAUAGAUAUUUAAUUUUCAUGUUUUGUUUAUGAAAGGGGAAAAUACGUACAUUUCUGUCUAUGCCUGUAUCUACCUAUAUGAUUAUUCAUAUGUUUGACUGAAUGCAAAUUAGAGUGCUGUAAGUUGCCUAUGUUUCAUUGUGUUUUUAUUGAUCUUUUUAUUGAUUAAAAGUUGACCUCUUCUACUACUUUUGUUCGUUAUUCUGUUGUAUAAAGUUUAAAGUCAAACUUCAGGAAGAGGAAAUCAUGUUAAUGUGUUCACCAGACAUGCCUUGGAAACUGAAAGUCAAAGUGUGUCAUG
rnacentral:lncRNA from 1 species